rnacentral:rRNA from 1 species
UUUCUAAAAGAAAUAAUUUUAAGUAAGACCUGCUCAAUGUAUAUUCAUAUAAAUAGCCGCAGAAAUUUAACUGUGCUAAGGUAGCAUAAUCAUUAGUCUCCUAAUUAGAGACUAGCAUGAAGGGCCAAACAUUUCAAUUACUUUUUUAAAUCUAAAAUUAAACCUUAUAUUAAAUAUAAAAAUAUAUUUAUUCAAAAGUUAGACGACAAGACCCUAUCGAACUUCACUAAAGUUUGGCUGGGGCAGCCUAUUAAUAAAUAUUUUAAUCCAAAAUUUUUAUAUUAAUGAUCCAAUAAAAUUGAUUAAAUGAUUAAGUUACCGUAGGGAUAACAGCGUAAUAAAAUUUUUAAGUUCUUAUUUUAAAAUUAGAUUGCGACCUCGAUGUUGAAUUAAUUAACUUUACUAAACGCAAGAGUUUUAAAAGUAGGUCUGUUCGACCUUUAAUUUUUUACA